rnacentral:rRNA from 1 species
AUUGAACGCUGGCGGCAGGCCUAACACAUGCAAGUCGAACGAGUGGCGGACGGGUGAGUAAGGUCUGGGAAACUGCCUGAUGGAGGGGGAUAACUACUGGAAACUGUAGCUAAUACCGCCUACCAUCGGAUGUGCCCAGAUGGGAUUAGCUAGUGGGUGGGGUAAAGGCUCACCUAGGCGACGAACCCUAGCUGGUCUGAGAGGAUGACCAGCCACACUGGAACUGAGACACGGUCCAGACUCCUACGGGAGGCAGCAGUGGGGAAUAUUGCACAAUGGGCGAAAGCCUGAUGCAGCCAUGCCGCGUGUGUGAAGAAGGUCUUCGGAUUGUAAAGCACUUUAAGUUGGGAGGCGUUACCAACAGAAUAAGCACCGGCUAACUUCGUGCCAGCAGCCGCGGUAAUAC